rnacentral:tRNA from 1 species
GCGGGGUUGGCAUAUUGGCCUGUGCGUCGGCCUUCCAAGCCGAAUAAAGGAGUUCGAUUCUCCUAUCCCGCUCCA